rnacentral:sRNA from 1 species
UACUUGUCACAAUACUGACUUGAUGACUAAUAGAUAGCUCAUACUUGGACGAACAAGUCAACAACAAGCCAGGAUUCAUAACACACUCCUGGAUUAUUGCCUCUUACAUUUCUAUAGAUCUCUACCACUAUUCCAGCCCCAGUACUGGAACAUGUGGCCUACCAACGCCAGUUUAGCCCUGUUUCUGCUCUUGGUUAUUUGUCUUUGGGGAAGUACCUGCCAGGCAGUACAAAAUACGCCUUGUCGGGACGAGACUGACUGCGACCCGGAGGAAUGUUGCACCGCAAGCUUAAGUUCAGGGAAAGACGGCAUCUUCUCGGUAUGCAAAAAAAUUCUGACUGUCGGUGACGUCUGCUCUCCGCCUUGGACAGCUCGAGUCAAUCAGUGUGGCUGUGGACACGGCACGAGCUGCGUGUUGCUAGGGGAGACACAUCAAUGUUUGUACUUACCAGGAUAACUUCUGUACUUCUUUUUUUUUUCUUCGAUCACUUUGUACUGCAUAAAUAUAGGUAAUCGCAAAUAAACUACGAAAUGAAGUAUAAAUUGUCAUGAAUAUGAAUUUCAUAUGUUAGAAUAAGAAAAUCCAAAGUUGUUAAA